CUUCUGGGAAGAACAAUCCUGCUCUCAGGAAGCUGACACCUACUGUGUCUCCUCACUGAGGAGAAAUUCCCUCACUGUGUAAGUGAGGCUCACCUAAACAUGGAAAUGGAGAGCUGGAGAGCCCGAAGCAAAGAUGAAAAGACGUUCGUUGGCCUUGGCUUCCUUUUGCUGUUUCACAGUACUUGGAGCUGAUCACGUCUUCUACAAACCAAAGGACGGCUCCUGCCUGGUGUGUUGUGUUCCAGGAAGAAGGCAUGAAACAAAUUACUUCCCAAAUGACUUGGAGAAGAUGAAAGCCCAAGCCUUUCCUUUUCUAAGGCAUCGCUAAAGCCAGAAUGAAAAGAAUGAGUUAAGUUGCAGUGUGGGAAAUCUCCAUGAAAGUUCUGGACCAUUCGCUUUCAGGAGUCCAGAUGGGCAAUGGCGUUUGGUGGGAGGUUCAUAAAUGAACUCCCCGUGAUGGCUGAGGUGAGCAAGGAGAGUGAGGUCAGCUGUCAAGCUGCAGACAAACCAGAGCUGGCUACGAUUUUGGUGACCGUCUCCCUACAAGUCUAGAAAUAGCAAUUCUGGGAGAAUGAGGCAACAGCAAGUUGCAGUUUUUCAUCUUAGGGUCCCAGAAGAGAUCUCUGCCAUGGACUGCCUCCAUUAAAAAAAAAAAAAAGAAAAAAGAAAAAAAAAAAAAAAGAAUGUUCUGGAGUCUAGGAAGCCGACUGCCCUGCUCUGCUCUCUGUCAUUUGACUUGGCUUGCAUUCCCUACUCUUAACCUAUAUCUUACCUUGGCACCCUGCAUUCUGGCUUCUCAAAGCUCCAUACCUCACACCAGUGGAGGCUUCUCCGUCAUCACCAUUUUCUUCUUACACUUUAUGGAAACCACCAGCUUUGGAGCUUAAAUUGGCCAGGUCUGGUUUUAAUUCAUUUUAAAAAUACUAAAUCUAUUCAACAGUUUUGAGUUAUGGGAGCAGGGUGAUAAAGUGUGUGCCUUUCCAUUUCAGGAAGCUAUGUGCAUAAAUAUCUCCAAGCAAUAAAAUCGUAGAGUUUCAUUCUUUUCAAACAGUACGUUCCUUAUGUGAAGUUGAACGUCUCAGACAAAUGUGAUGUUUUAAUAACGCAGGAUUGCUUAGCCAUUUUGGCCACCUCACCCAUGUAUUAUGAUGGCAUACAUGAGUUUUUUAUUUAAUGCACAUGGUUUUGAAAAUGGGAAGAGAUCUCCAAUACGAAAAGCCGAAAAUAAUGAAGGCAGUGGGAUGCUAGUUGUCUUGAAAUAAGCCGUAGGAACCAUAGUACACUGCAGAAAAAUAAAUAUACUUUACAGGCAGAGUCGAAGUAUUAAAGUUUCCUGCCUUCGGUGAAAUAGCUCUGGCAUAAAACCUUAGGACCUGUGAACACGGUAUGAUGAGCCUUUCUUCUGCCCAAGAUUGCCAUGGCCAGCUGAUUGUACAUUAUAAGCGUAAUUUAUGUCAUCUAUUAUUUGGACUGGAGAGCAACAUAAAUCCAAAUUCUGCAUGACUCGUGUAGUUCCGGUAGCUAUUAUUAGGUAGAUCAAUUUCUCUUAUUUAGAAAUGUUUUAUGUAGUAAUUUUCUAAACUAGUUUUUAAUAAAUUAGCUGUCUGACAGG